rnacentral:rRNA from 1 species
AUACGGAGGGUGCAAGCGUUAUCCGGAAUCAUUGGGUUUAAAGGGUCCGUAGGCGGACUAUUAAGUCAGAGGUGAAAUCCCACAGCUCAACUGUGGAACUGCCUUUGAUACUGGUAGUCUUGAGUUAUAUGGAAGUAGAUAGAAUGUGUAGUGUAGCGGUGAAAUGCAUAGAUAUUACACAGAAUACCGAUUGCGAAGGCAGUCUACUACGUAUAUACUGACGCUAAGGGACGAAAGCGUGGGGAGCGAACAGGAUUAGAUACCCCGGUAGUCC